UGGGGAAUAUUGCACAAUGGGCGAAAGCCUGAUGCAGCAACGCCGCGUGAGUGAUGAAGGUCUUCGGAUUGUAAAGCUCUGUCUUUUGGGACGAUAAUGACGGUACCAAAGGAGGAAGCCACGGCUAACUACGUGCCAGCAGCCGCGGUAAUACGUAGGUGGCGAGCGUUGUCCGGAUUUACUGGGCGUAAAGGGUGCGUAGGCGGAUGUUUAAGUGAGAUGUGAAAUACCCGGGCUUAACUUGGGUGUUGCAUUUCAAACUGGAUAUCUAGAGUGCAGGAGAGGAGAAUGGAAUUCCUAGUGUAGCGGUGAAAUGCGUAGAGAUUAGGAAGAACACCAGUGGCGAAGGCGAUUCUCUGGACUGUAACUGACGCUGAGGCACGAAAAGCGUGGGUAGCAAACAGGAUUAGAUACCCUGGUAGUCCACGCCGUAAACGAUGAGUACUAGGUGUAGGAGGUAUCGACCCCUUCUGUGCCGCAGUAAAACACAUUAAGUACUCCGCCUGGGAAGUACGAUCGCAAGA
rnacentral:rRNA from 1 species